UACGUAGGUGGCAAGCGUUGUCCGGAUUUACUGGGCGUAAAGAGCGCGCAGGCGGUCGUUCAAGUCGCGUGUGAAAGCCCCGGCUCAACUGGGGAGGGUCACGCGAUACUGAUCGACUCGAAGGCAGGAGAGGGUAGUGGAAUUCCCGGUGUAGUGGUGAAAUGCGUAGAUAUCGGGAGGAACACCAGUGGCGAAGGCGACUACCUGGCCUGUUCUUGACGCUGAGGCGCGAAAGCUAGGGGAGCAACAGGG
rnacentral:rRNA from 1 species